rnacentral:tRNA from 1 species
GCCAGUAUGGUGGCUAUAACCCUCGGUUUGUAACCGAGUUGGUUCGGGUUCGAAUCCCGAGUAAGACA